AUUUUCCAACACACAUUUGCUUUUCUUUUGGCUUAAGCGCAGUUAAGUCGCAGGAACUGUUAAUUCUUCCUAAGUAAAAAUGCUUCCUAGGAGAUAGAAGAGGAAAAAGAAAAAGGGGACAACACACGGAAAAACGAGGACAACCUAUUCGCCAAAGGACAGGUUUUGUACGGCAAACCACCUUCUUCCAAAACUGCAGAUUUCCAGAAAGCAGAUUUCAAACAAAACGGGAGGAAUGGAUAAAUUCCAACUCUCCAAGCGCUGCAGACCAUCCGGAAGCAAAUGCUGGCGGCCCUCGGGGAACGAUCGAAAUGAGUAGCAGCAGCAGGGCUCUCUUCGUCCCAUUCAUUGACACUUGAUAGUACUUCCGCGCCACUCACCUUCGUUCUAGCUGAGCGCAAAUCACACCAGGAAAGCUGGAGGGAGUCGGACACACACCCACACCCACACCCUUGGCCCCAGAGCUGUAAAGCGCAGUCCACGGAAUCAGAGGGAGGCCGAAACCCGGGAGUCGCUCGAAAAUCUCACUGCAAAAUCUCCCCGCUUUCUGGGGCUGGAGCCGAGAAGAACGCCACAGGACAAAGCAGGGGAAGAGGGGGCACCUCCCCCUUACCUUGAUGGCUUUCUCCAUGUCGCUUUCCUCCGACAUGCUCCGUGGGGCUCCCGCAGCCGCGAAGAGCUGAGGCUGCUCAGCCGCCCUGUCCCCGCGAGACCGAGGGAGCAAAGGGCUCGGCACUCGGGCCCCUGGGCUUCGGGGCGACGGGCAGCAGCCGCCCCUGGGGACCGGUAGGGAUGAGGGCCCCGGUGCCGGCUCUGCUUCGGCGGGCGGCUUUAGGCUGGCCGCAGCAGCAGCGGCAGAGGCGGCGGCCCCUGGGGACAAGCCUUUGUGCUGGGCCCCGCGCGGCCGCCUCCUAGCCUCAUCCCCGGCAGGGGAGGCAGGCUCCCGGGGUAGGGCGAGGCGGGGAGGGCCUCGACCUGGGGCACUAUGCAGGGGCCUCGCGGGGCCGCCGCUUAGGCCGGGGCUCGCCAGCUCCUAAGGAGGAGCCUGCGCCUCCGCCUCCGCCGCCUGCACCUCCGCGAAGCCGAAGCCGAAGCAGAGCUCGCCGCCGCUGCUCCCGCCACCGCUUCAGCGCCACACAUCGCCGGGACACCCGCGCCGGGCAGCCCCGCCGGCCGCCCUCACGCAAGCGCUGUGUCCCGCGGGAGCUCCGGGCAGCCCUUCCCGUCGCCCAGCUUCGUGACUCCACGGCCCCACGCGCCCCUCGCUGCCUUCCGCUGUGGUUUCCGAGCCGCCCCCGAGCCGUGCACCCGACUUGCAGGCGCUGGCCUGGGCCUCCCUAAGACGCGCCGCAUGCAGGACUGGCCCCCGGGCCUUCCGCGGCGGAGGCGCUGCACUAAUGACGUCAUGGGCGACCGGACUGGGCUGGGCCUCUGGAGGUCGCUCCCGGACACGCUUGAGUGCGCAUGCGUUGGGGCCUCAUCCUUUAUCCUAGCUGCGGAGAUUCACGCCUGGUAAGGGCUCUUCAGAGAGGAUCGGUGGAGGUCGACCCAGGAAAGAGAAGAGACGACUGAAGCACGAGAGUCCUGCCGUAAAGGAGCAGGAUUGUGUAGAGUACAUAAUAGCAGUAGCAGCUCUGUUUACGGAGCAUUAACCUUACGUGGAGUUCUUUGCAUUACCUGUUUUCAUCUUUACAGUGUAGCCAUUUGGCGUUGCGACGUAUGAAUGUUCCCAUCCCUAGUUUGCAGUUUAGGUAACUGAGGCUCAGAGAGCUGGACUAGUUUGUGCACAGCCGAGAAGUGGUCAAGCAUAGAAUGAGAACCCAGGUUUGCGCUCCCUACUCUCCACUGAUAACCUGUCAAAGGGCCUUGCAAGAGCUUUUGACUAAUCGCCUCACAGUGGUUCUUCAUUCACUUAUUAAUUGCACAUCAGUCUGUGCCAAAUAUACUAGACAUUGGGGAAACAGUGGGAACAAGACACGGUACCGGCUCAUGGUUCUUUCAGGAAAAGGAAGUAGGAAAGCCCGAGCCUGAUGCUAAGAAGAACGGAAACAGGAUGCUGAGGGUCUCACUGGCUGGAGUACAGUGGCGUGAUUACAGCUCCCUGCAACCUAGACCUCCUGAGCUCAAGUGAUCCUCCCACCUCAGCCUCCUAAGUAGCUGGGACUACAGGCUCAUGCCACCAUGCCUGGCUAAUUUUUUGGUUUUUUUUGUAGAGAUGGGCUCAGGCUGCUCUUCAACUCCUGAGCUCAAAUGAUCCACCUGCCUUGGCCUCCCAAGGUACUGGGAUUACAGGUGUGAGCCACGGUGCCUGGCUGAGAAGAUGGAUUUAAGACAUGUUUUGGAGGUAACAUUGUCAGGACUUCCUGAAGGAUUAGAUGUGGAAGGGGAGGAUAAGAAACAGACCAAGGAUAACUUUCACAUGUAUGUUUAAGCAACUAGAUGGAUAAUGAUGCCAUUCAGUGAGUGAAGCCUUUAUGGAGGUGGAAGAUCCAGAGUUCUUUUCUAUCUAGGUUAAUUUGAGACAUCCCAGAGCAUAAGUCAAGUAAGUAAUUGAAUAUUGGAGUGGAGACUUAGUUGUCUACCAGAAUUAUUGUUUUCUUUGUCGGUCAUACACCAACACUGCAUUCCUCAAGUAAAAUAAGCGUGCCUCUGUGCCUGUGCUCUCCCCAGUGGAAAGUGAGCAGAAGAGGUGUGCACAGUUUCCAGGCCUGGCCCAUACAGACCUCCAACAGGUGUUCCCUGUGCUCUUACUCCUUCUGCCAACUGGAAGCAGAUGGUGACCAGGCUCUGGAGAAGGCAAGGCCUGAAGAUGGGAGAUUCCUGAGUGGAGAACUGUGCCUUACUGACCUAAAUAUCGACUCUUUAUUGUUAUGUGGGAAUAAACAAACUUGUGUUGACCUUUUA